GUUUAUCUUGCAUCAGUUCCAGCUGCCUUGUUAAAAGACACAGUAUAUGAAGGUCCUCUAAACCGCACCACCUGCAGCCUGUUACCUUCCUUGACUCAGGAUGAAACUGCAGUUAAUGAUCCUGUUCCCCCCAUGACGCCAACACAAAGCCUGCAUCAUUACGCACCAAAAACAAGUUGUUCACCUCAAAAUAUGCCCCAGUACAGGAAUGUGUUCAGUGACCGUGCCAAGAGGGGCUUCUGCUACUGGCUGGUUGACAAUAAAGCCUCAAAGUGUAAAUACUGAUCCAAGCUCAGACUGCAGUAAAAUGUCCCCUAUGCCAUAAGUAUCAGCUUGGCAUGACAUUUACAUGCACGUGUGGCUGUUAGGAGUGAGAUCCAUACCCCAAAUCCUUUCUCAUGGCUUCCCACUGUACUCUCAACCUUUAUGAUAUAGCAGUUUGUAUUCAAAGACUUGUUUUUUUAGAAUAACUCCUUUACAUCUCCUUUAAAUUAUGAGACUGAUGCAUCUUUCUUUCUUUCCAACAGG